UACGUAGGAGGCAAGCGUUGUCCGGAAUUACUGGGCGUAAAGCGCGUGUAGGCGGGCAGGUAAGUCUGUCGUGAAAGCGCCUGGCUUAACCGGGCGAGGUCGAUGGAAACUAUCUGCCUAGAGGCCGGUAGAGGGGGGUGGAAUUCCGGGUGUAGUGGUGAAAUGCGUAGAGAUCCGGAGGAACACCAGUGGCGAAGGCGGCCCCCUGGGCCGCGCCUGACGCUGAGACGCGAAAGCGCGGGGAGCGAACGGG
rnacentral:rRNA from 1 species